rnacentral:lncRNA from 1 species
UAUGUAUCAAGAAACCUCUGGCAACACAGAAGGCUUGUCUCCACUCCACACAGCAUCAGCUGGGCUGGCUUGACUGGAGGAUCUGCUUCUAAGAUGGCCCACUCAUAUGGCUGGCAAGUUGGGGAUGACUGCAGGCUGGAGCUCAACCAAGGCUGUGGGCUGGGGCCUCAGUUCCUCCCUGUGGAUCUCUCUAUAGGCUGGUCAAGAGUGAGCAUCUCAAGAGAAAGCAUUUCCCCUAGUUAGGCAGAGGCCUCAUCACCUUUUAUGAUCUAGCCUCAGAAAUCACAUGGAAUCACUUCCACUGUAGUGACGAGCCUGCCCAGAUUCAAGAGGAAAGAACAGAGACACAUCUCUCUACGUGAGGAAUGUCAUGACCAUAUUGUAAGAAGAGCAUGUGGGAAGGGAGAUGUGGCCAUCCUGGAAAAUACAAUCUACCACAUAUUAGAUUGAACAUGGGGGCAAGUGUCAGUCCUUUACAAUCUGGGGGCAUCAUGUUAAUCUAAAUAGCAAUCUACUUAGUCCAGAGCAGUAGUUCUCAAAGGCUGGACCACAGGCCAGUUCUGAUUCAUGACAAAAGUUCCAUCAUAUAUGACAAAAUAAGAAAAAUAAAUACAACAUAAAGGUCUAUAAUAAAACUUAAUUUAUUUAACUUAAAGGGUAGAGCCCUACACUGAGAUCUCUUCCCUUUUCUGGUGUUAAAAUGUCUUUUGUUAAAUGAUAGUGAUAGUAGAUAGUAGUUGUUUUAUUAAUGAUGUCCUAUCAAUCUCCUCCCCUUUUUUUACAUUUUUUCUGUUCAAUUAAAUACAGAAGUCUAAAGAACUACUGCCUAAAAGUUAUCAUAACAUUGAAUUUAGCCUUUGAUUGACUACUUCCCAAAUAAUGUGGAGGCUUCAUUGAUUUAUUAGUAUGCACUUUGAAUAGUAAUUACUUUGUGGAUGUUCAGAAAAAGCCAUGCAGCUACCUAUGUAACAGCUCAAACUCAAAGCCUACGGGCAUUUAAAGUUGCCUAUGAAUAGAUCUAUAAUUCAAUGUAACAAUAUGUAACAAGAGAUACUAUAACUCUCAAAAUGGACUAAAAUUGUAAAUCUAUAGAUAUAAAUAAAUGUUCAGAUUCUCACAUCAAAGGAAUCUUUGACAUGAGAUCCAGGAAUCUGUUGUAAUCACUUGGUUCACAUGCCAGAAAGUAAAAUGACAUUCAAUGUGAAGGCUUAGAAAAUAGAAGGUCAGAGGAGAAAUUAGGCGUAGAGAUGUUGGAUGUAUGUGUGGCUUAUCUGCUAGAGGAGUAGGAGUUAAAAUGGGGCAAGAUAUGGAGAUAAGUGUUGGGAGUCAUUUUUAUAAAGGUGCACAAGCUCUAUAAAUUAAUGAAGAGGUAAUGAGUUCUAUGUAUAAGGUAUUACUAAAAGAUAAUUCAUUCAGUUAUUUACUAACUUACUGUUUUAUGGACUUUUUAGGUAUAAAAAAAGAACAAAACAAAAUCCCUACCCUCAAAAAGCUUACAAUUCACACAGAAGGACAAACCUGUGAACAAUUAAGUAGAAUACAGUAUGAGGCUAUUAGCACUAUGGGUGCCCUAAAGAGGGAAAGACUCAUUCUUCAUAAUACUGGUGACAGGGAAGGUCAUGGAAUAGAGAAUUACAGAUUGCUUUACCAAAGGUUAGGAUUGAAUUUUGAGAAAUUCUCACAACUGGGGGCAAGAGGAAGAAGAGGAACUGGUGAAGGAGUUAGAAAAGCAGUUUUAAGAGAGUAGAGGAAUCAUAAUUGACAUAAAAGUACCAACACAAGGAGUUUAAAAAUAGCAUCAGCAAAUAUAUCAAAAGCUAUAAAAAGUUUGAGGAUAAGGAUUGAAAGAUUAAUAAAGAGGGAAAAUAGGUUUAUUUUAUACUAAGGGGUCUCCAGAAAUGCCUUGGUCUAAUUUAGAAAUCUUUGAAGUAAGAAUCCAGGAAUCCCUCCCUAAUCUGGAACACACUCCUGGAAAAUAAUGUUGUAUUCAAAAUCCAAGCUCAGAAAAUGUAGCGUUAGAGUAGAAAGGACAAAAAUGGCACCUGGACUUUUCCUAAAUUAUUGCAGUCCUUAAGGACACCGGUCUUCGCACAAUAUACUGUAUUAAGAAAAUGGGCUAGGCAUAGUGGUUCACAGCUGUAAUCCCAGGACUUUGGGAGGCCAAGUCAGGAGGAAUGCUAGAGGCCAGGAACUCAAAGACCAGCCUGGGAAACGUAGCAAGACUCUAUCUCUGCAAAUUUUUAUUUGUUUUUAUUAUUAUUUUUUGAGAUGGAGUCUCACUCUGUCACCCAGGCUGGAAUGCAGUGGUGCGAUCUCGGCUCACUGCAACCUCCACCUCCCGGGCUCAGGUGAUUCUCCUGCCUCAGCCUCCCAAGUCACUGGGAUUACAGGCACGUGCCACCACAUACAGCUAAAUUUUUG